GUCCAGUCUACAACUGAACCAUGUGCUCAUCAUUUACCAUCUCGCUCUAUUUCUUAGCUCUCUGGAGUCAGGCUUCUCUGGGGAUUAUCACAGUAGAUCAAUCUCCUCCGGUCAUCUCCGUCCAGCCUCAUGACACUGUGAAGAUUCUUUGCCGAGCUUCACGGGACAUUGGCAAUGACAUGGAGCUCUAUCAGCUUAAACCUGGACAGGCUCCUAAACAUCUGAUUCAUGACAGUACUACAAGAAUGUCUGGAGUUCCUGACAGAUUCAGUGGCUCAUAUACUGGAGCUCUGACAACCUUCACCAUCUCAGGUGUCCAGCUGGAGGAUGAAGCUGAGUAUCAUUGUGCCCACAGUGAAGAGUAUCCAAUCAUGUUUGGUGAAGGAACCAAACUCAUUGUGAAAGGCCAGCCUCUGUCGUCUCCGGAGAUCAGCCUGCUGAUUCCAGCUGUUCAGCAGCAGUCCACUCCUGAUCAACUCACUGUUCUCUGUCAGGUGAAGAACUUCUACCCUGAAUAUGUUACUGUGAGCUGGAGUGUGGAUACACAGGAUGCGCCUGGAGACAAAAAGGACACCAAGGCAGUCCGGAGCUCUGACGGGACAUACAGCAUGAGCAGCAUUCUGUCUGUGUCUCGCUCUACCUGGGAUGCUGCCCAGGCUUUCACCUGCCAGGUUCAUCAUGAGAGUCUGAAAACACCUGCCAGCCACAGUGUGAGCAAGAGCGAGUGCCAGGAGUGACCGCUGCAGCAGGUGUGACGAGAGAGUUAUAACUGAAACCUCCCACACCCAAUCUCACUUCUGCUUUUCAAUUCAUCUCUCAUCUCUUUCACACUUUCAUAUCUCUCUUUCACACCAAAGUGGCACAUUUACAAAUUAGAUAUCAAUAAAUAAAUAAAUACUUAAAUCUGA